rnacentral:rRNA from 1 species
GACGAACGCUGGCGGCGUGCUUAACACAUGCAAGUCGAACGGAGCGGCGAACGGGUGAGUAACAAGUGGGUGACCUGCUCUGCACUUCGGGAUAAGCAUGGGUAACUGGGUCAACUACCGCCUAGUGUGGGAUGGGCCCUCGGCCAAUCAGCUUGUUGGUGGGGUAAUGGCCUACCAAGGCGGCGACGCGUAGCCGGCCUGAGAGGGUGGACGGCCACAAGGGGACUGAGAGACGGCCCAGUCGCCAACGGGGGGCAGCGGUGGGGAAUAUGGCACAGUGGGGGAAACCGUAAUGAAGAAACGCCGGGUGCGGGAUGACGGCUUUCGGGUUGUAAACCGGUUUCGGCCAUGACGCGGUAGUGGCAGAAGAAGCACCGGCUAACUACGUGCCAGCAGCCGCGGUAAUAC